UGUCGGGUUUGCUGAAAACUUCAACAGAGAAUCUGAAUCAAGCUGGUUAAAGGGAGACUCUGAACAGAACCUGGACCGGCUAGCUCCACAGCAUCCGUUACCAUGGAGAUCUACAUCCACAGCAUCUGUUACCAUGGAGAUCUACAUCCACAGCAUCCGUUACCAUUGAGAUAUAUCUUGUGUCUCUUUGUAGUCAUUUUGUGUCUCCUUGUGGUAAUCACAUGAUACGUCACAUUCACACACUGAUGGUGGAUGCUGCCAUGCAAGGCGCUAACCACAACCCACCAGGAGCAAUUAGGGGUUCGGUGUCUUACUCAGGGACACCUCGACAUGAGCUCGACGGAGCCGAGGAUCGAACUGGAAACCCUCCGGUUGCAAGACGGCCACUCUACCCACUGAGCCAUGCCGCAAGGUGUGUAUUUUUUCAAAACCUGAGCUUUUUUAGAAAUGCUGCUCCCAUUAAACUCCAUCAUCACCUUUUGAACCACUUCUGUUGAGGAGGAUAGUCCACGUUUAGGGCAUACAGGAGUCCAAAGACGAGGGCAAUGGCCAACGGAACAUCAUUCUUGGACGACUACUUGGCCUUCCAAGAUGAUUCCGAUGUCAUCUGGUUUGGACUGGGCCUCAUGUUAUUUUGCAGUGAACAUUCCUACAGUGGUGUCUUCUGCGUAGUCGAAGACAGCUUCCCUGCUUCCAUACAAUGAGAUAAAAAGUCAAUACACUAUAAUGGAUACACUUCUGGACACCACAGAUGAAAAAGUGGAAGUGAUGCAUAGUAUGGUACAUAGUAACAGCUGGAACAAGUGUGACAAACGGGCCGUGUAAAUAAAUCUCUAAGGAAUCUUCACAAGUUUAUGGAAUCCAAAGAGAGGCAAAAGAAAAAUCUGUACAACUAACUGGCUCUCAAAUAUUUUAUUGCUGACACCACAGAGUAAUGUUUUCGACCUUUGUUGUUCAUUGUAUGGCAGAUUGAGAGGCAUCUGGCUGCAGACCUCCACUGUGAGGUCGCUUCCGGUGCAGACCUCCACUGUCAGGACGCCUCCACUGUCAGGACGGGAAGUAACCAUAAGCGUCCGGUAGGUGGCCGUAACGCACCUGAAGUUGGUUUACUAACCGCUAAAUAAAUCAAAAGAAGAAGCCAUUUCACGCGAGUGAUCGUCUGUAUCGUUUGGCGUUUACGGUGAGUUCUUGAUUUUUAUUAUCCACAGAAAGUGUAAAUUACGGUGGCUGACAGGGUAAAAUGACGUGCAUAUACACAAACGAGCUGCAAAUACAUUAAUGCGCUGCCUAAAUGAAAAGAAAUACAAAAAGAAAACGCUGCAUAUCCAGUCACACAGUGGAAGUAGUAGUGACAGUAGUGAGCUUUUCACCUGAGAGGCAGACAAUGGUGAGUGAGACAAGUAACGUUAGUUGAGGGAAAAGCUGUAUGAAAAGGUUUGUCUUCUCUCAUCUCCAUGGAUAAACAUAAAUAACAGAGAGAACACAGGGAGAUGGUAGUAAAACACCACUUCAGCACCCAUAUAAUCACAGUGACUGAAAAGCUAAGGACUUAAAAACUAAUAAACAUUUAGGGAAACUAGAUGUCCACUGUCUCUGACAUAACCUAACAUAACUUUUUAUGUGUGCGAGUGUGAGUGUGUGUGUGUGUGUGUGUGUGGGGGGGGGGGGGGGUUGCAAACUCAUGUAGGAGUAAUUAAUGAUGCAGUUAUUGGAUAUAGGUCACUUUUAUAAGUAGAUGUAAACAGGCGGUACAAAAAAAAUCAGGUGUAUACAGCCAUGGCCAUAAGUUUGGACACAACAUGACUUAUGUCUGUUUUGAUGUCUAUUACAGAACAUAACUAAUAUUUUUUGACAGCACCAGUUUAAUUAGUCAACAAAUCAACAAGGGAUAUAAUAUUAUCAAUAAAUUCCAACAACUGGAACAACUUUGUUCCCUAAACAUAAUAUUAAAGAAAAUAACAAAAAAAUGCAGUACUUUCACAACCGAAUUUAGUAAGAAUAACAAAAUGACACCAAACUCUUUUGAUGUUUUUUUAAAUAUGAAACUUAAUAUAGUUCUCAGGAGUUGUGUAUUAUCACCCAAACACUUCAGUAUUUUGUGGUAUUUUCUAAGAUUCACAUGCGUCAUGGUACUUGUGUCCAAACUUAUGGCCAUGGCUGUACAUCAAGUCAGUAUUAGGCAGAAAGACCUGCAGUGUAAAUGAGACCUAGAAAUGUAUGUAGAAAUUAAGUUUUUUCACUUUUUAACUGUAAGCAAAGAUAAAUUUAUUUGAAAUAAAGUUCAUGUACUGUAAUUCAAACACAUAACACAAUUUUAUAUCCUUUUCAGAUGCACCAUUCAAUGUUGAAGUCAGUCAGAAAGCCUGCAGUAGAACGCUGUACAACAUGCUGCAGUUUGUUCCACUGCCCCCUUUGCCCCAAAGACAUGUUUAAACCAAGCAUCCCGUCGAAGCUUCAGCGACAUUUGGAGGUCCACCUAAAAAUGCCGUUACAUUUGAAGAUAAGAAGAUCUGGACAGAUACAUCAAAAGCCCUCCUGCGAGGUGAGGUGUCACCAGUGUUUAGGCUGAAGAAAAGAAGGGUGGAUGACAUUACUCCGGAAGAAGAGCAGCAAGCUGAGGUUUCAGUCAGACCUGCUGAUGUGAGCACACCAGUGGAAGGGGACUCGGUUGAAGUGCGUAUUCUGCAUGAUUGCAGACAUGCAGCAGAGUGGGUUGAGGCCAAUAAGACACUCUUCUCUGCCAGAGUGGACCUGCCUGAUGUUCUACACAUGGGGGAGGAGGAACAGGCUGAGGCUGCUCUGCAGGAUAAAAGACAUGGAUGAGCAGGAAAGGGAAGAAAUCCUGGAGGUCUUCAAAUUCACAUUCUACAACACUGAGGACAUGUGGACAUUUUGUGACAUAGUAGUGGACGAAAACAAUUAUUUGGCAUAUUGUGAAUGUCACAAAGAUGAAUAAUUGAAGGAUAACAGAACAUUUGAUCAUGUUGUGACUUUGUGUGUUCAUGUUUUGUUUUCUCAUUGAGCACUUAAUAAUUCAUUUGAACUACACUGUAGAUCUCAAGAGUUUGGGUAGAAGUUGGUGGUAUUUUGGUGCUCCAGCAGCACAAGAACAUAAUUAGCAUAGACAAAAGAUCCUCGGCUUUAUAGGCUACACAUAGACACUUGAGCCCCAAGUCACCCACGUUUAUGUUUUCCGUAAUGACCUAAGCUGUAAUAUUUCAAUUCAAUUUCAAUUCAAUUUUAUUUAUAUAGCGUCAAUUACAGUCAACUCGUCUCAAGACGCUUUACAGAACCCAAAUGCCUGACCCCCAGAGCAGCCCAAAGGAGACAGUGGCAGGAAAACACCCUUUUAACAGGGAAGAAACCUUGAGCAGAACCCGGCUCUAUAUAGGGGGGACCCAUCUGCCUGCUGGCCGGGCGGGUUGAGAGGGACAGAGGAGGGCAAGGGGGAGGGAUGGGAGAAGAGGG